rnacentral:rRNA from 1 species
UAAUACGGAGGGUGCAAGCGUUAUCCGGAUUCACUGGGUUUAAAGGGUGCGUAGGAGGGCAGGUAAGUCAGUGGUGAAAUCUCCGAGCUUAACUUGGAAACUGCCGUUGAUACUAUCUGUCUUGAAUAUUGUGGAGGUGAGCGGAAUAUGUCAUGUAGCGGUGAAAUGCUUAGAUAUGACAUAGAACACCAAUUGCGAAGGCAGCUCGCUACACAUAUAUUGACUCUGAGGCACGAAAGCGUGGGGAUCAAACAGGAUUAGAUACCCUGGUAGUCCACGCCCUAAACGAUGGAUACUCGACAUACGCGAUACACAGUGUGUGUCUGAGCGAAAGCAUUAAGUAUCCCACCUGGGAAGUACGACCGCAAGGUUG